GAUGAACGCUGGCGGCGUGCCUAAUACAUGCAAGUCGAGCGAACGGACGAGACGCUUGCUUCUCUGAUGUUAGCGGCGGACGGGUGAGUAACACGUGGAUAACCUACCUAUAAGACUGGGAUAACUUCGGGAAGCCGGAGCUAAUACCGGAUAAUAUUUUGAACCGCAUGGUUCAAAAGUGAAAGACGGUCUUGCUGUCACUUAUAGAUGGAUCCGCGCUGCAUUAGCUAGUUGGUAAGGUAACGGCUUACCAAGGCAACGAUGCAUAGCCGACCUGAGAGGGUGAUCGGCCACACUGGAACUGAGACACGGUCCAGACUCCUACGGGAGGCAGCAGUAGGGAAUCUUCCGCAAUGGGCGAAAGCCUGACGGAGCAACGCCGCGUGAGUGAUGAAGGUCUUCGGAUCGUAAAACUCUGUUAUUAGGGAAGAACAUAUGUGUAAGUAACUGUGCACAUCUUGACGGUACCUAAUCAGAAAGCCACGGCUAACUACGUG
rnacentral:rRNA from 1 species